AUGUUUGCUGCAUUUCUCAUCCAUAUAAAUUCAUAUCAAUAUUACUUCUUUUAAUUUGUAGGGGAAGCCAUGAAGAAGCCGGGUAUACUGUGGACGGACGACGUCCCAUUUGUAUGGAUAAAGACCGCCCGUAGUUUGUUAAUGGUUUUAGUACAUACAAUAAGUCUUUCAGUUGUUAUCGUUCUAUCGAAAAUUCCCUUCUUCAGAAACUUCAUAAAACCCCUUUCAAAAAACAGAAAAAUUCCUGGAACUAAAGAAUUGCAGCUGAACAUGUCAGCAAAAACAAUCACUACACAAGCCCGGAUUAGACUGGUAGAUGUGCUCUCAAGAAAAACAUUUCUGGGUCGUAAGGCUCCUAACACGGAUCUGUAUGACAUGGAUACGAAGUCGUACAGAAAACUCUACAGUUUUCAAAAGGCAGGGCGCCCUCUUGUGUUGAACUUUGGAAGCUGUUCCUGACCUCCAUUCAUAGCACUAGUCGAGGAGAUGAAAAAGAUCAUCCACGACUUUUCUGAUAUCGCCGAUUUCGUGACCAUCUACAUCCGGGAGGCCCACCCCGUGGAAGGAUGGCAAGUCUUCGGACACCGUUUCGAAGAUAUGAAGGAUCAUAAAACGCUUGAAGAUAGGGUCGAGGCAGCGAAAUUCCUCCGUGACUUUGACUUGAAGUGUCCAAUACUGGUUGACCCCUUUGAUAACCAGAAUGGUCUUCAGUACGCGGCUGUGCCGGAACGUUUGUAUAUACUGUACGAUCAUACCGUCAUGUAUUUCGGAGCCGUCGGACCGGAGAACUACAAACCUGACGCUGUUAGGUCGUGGCUGAAUUGUUUUAGGAACGAGGGGUAGAUUAUCAAGAAUGACAGACUUUGAUAAAUACGGAAGGCAUAAUAUAUUUGGAAAAAUCUGUUUAUUGCGAAAAAACUAAUAAAUUAUAUAAUUUCAUAUUAUAAGAUAUAAUUUGCCUGCAAUAAUUAUUUUAACACUGACAAUUAUAUCAGCAUGAUGUUUUAUUUUAUUAUUAUAUAAAGCAUAGGUUGCAGCGUGUAUCAAUAGCAUCAGAACUUUUUUUUAAUCACAGCACGACAUACCAAUUGAUGGAUGAAUUUCUUUAGAAAAAACCAUAUAUCUUUGGAAACGAUGGUGUCGUUAGUAUGUCGUUCUGUUUUAAGUAAGAGUUCAUUGCAUUAGUAAAUGUAAAACACGUGUUAGUACAAAACACUUUUCAUUUCUCAUAAUGAAACAUUACAUUAUGAAGACAAGAAAUGACUGGGAUACUCUAAUGAAUUUCAGAAAGCAAAUUAGUUUUGGAUCAAUCUGUUAUUGCAGAAUUGCUUCUACAUCAGAUUAUACACAUGUAUAUGCUUUCAUAUAAUAAUAUAUAUAUAUUGCAUGCAAGGAUUAUUCUAACACAUUGAAUUUUAUCAGCUUGAUAUAUCUCUCAAUUAUUAGAUAAAGUCUAGAUUAUAACGUGUAUCAAUUGCAAUAGAACUAUUUUUUAACACAGUAAGACAUACCAAUUGAUGGAUGAAAUUCUUUAGAAAAAAUAUAUAUCUUUGGAAACGAUGGUUGCAUUGGUAUGUCUCCCUGUGUUAAUUGAGAGUUCUCUGUGCUGGUCAAUGUUACAUAUAUAUUAAAUGAAAAUGCUUUUUAUUGCACUUUAUUCACCACUGAUAUAAAAUUAUAACAAGAAAUACGAAGAAAUGAAGUAAGUGUACAAAUCGCUUCGACAAAUCCAAUAAACUUACGAUUACGGUUACAAGAGAAUAAUUGAUCUAUACCAUAAGUAUUGUUACAGUGUACUUAUUUGUAUAUUGCCAAUACAAAGAAUAGAUAUAAUAUUUAAAUCGUAAGAUGUGAUUAUCAACAUGUUCAAAAUAAAUUGCUUUGUUUCCUGUAUUAUCUAAUAAACGAGUCAGAAUGGGCUUGAUAUCCUG